rnacentral:rRNA from 1 species
GACGAACGCUGGCGGCGUGCCUAAUACAUGCAAGUAGAACGCUGAAGAGAGGAGCUUGCUCUUCUUUGAUGAGUUGCGAACGGGUGAGUAACGCGUAGGUAACCUGCCUGCUAGCGGGGGAUAACUUUUGGAAACGAUAGCUAAUACCGCAUAACAUGGACUAUCGCAUUAUAAUCCAUUGAAUGGUGCAAAUGCAUCACUACCAGAUGGACCUGCGUUGUAUUAGCUAGUUGGUGGGGUAACGGCUCACCAAGGCGACGAUACAUAACCGACCUGGGAGGAUGGUCGGCCCCGCUGAGACUAAGACUCGGCCCAGUCUCCUUGCGGAGGCAGCUGUAGGGAAUCUUGGGCGAUGGACGGAAGUCGGACCGGGCAACGCCGCGGGUGUGGAGAAGGUUUUCGGUUCGUAAAGAUCUGUUGUAAGUGAAGAGCGAGUGUGAGAGUAGAAAGUGCACGCUGUGACGGUAUCUGACCAGAAAGGGACGGCUAACUACGUG